rnacentral:rRNA from 1 species
UUCCUUGAGGAGUGGCUUCCGGAGCUAACGCGUUAAGUCGACCGCCUGGGGAGUACGGCCGCAAGGUUAAAACUCAAAUGAAUUGACGGGGGCCCGCACAAGCGGUGGAGCAUGUGGUUUAAUUCGAUGCAACGCGAAGAACCUUACCUACUCUUGACAUCCAGAGAACUUAGCAGAGAUGCUUUGGUGCCUUCGGGAACUCUGAGACAGGUGCUGCAUGGCUGUCGUCAGCUCGUGUUGUGAAAUGUUGGGUUAAGUCCCGCAACGAGCGCAACCCUUAUCCUUUGUUGCCAGCGGUUCGGCCGGGAACUCAAAGGAGACUGCCAGUGAUAAACUGGAGGAAGGUGGGGAUGACGUCAAGUCAUCAUGGCCCUUACGAGUAGGGCUACACACGUGCUACAAUGGCGCAUACAAAGAGAAGCGACCUCGCGAGAGCAAGCGGACCUCAUAAAGUGCGUCGUAGUCCGGAUCGGAGUCUGCAACUCGACUCCGUGAAGUCGGAAUCGCUAGUAAUCGUAGAUCAGAAUGCUACGGUGAAUACGUUCCCGGGCCUUGUACUCCCCGCCCGUCAA